rnacentral:rRNA from 1 species
UGGCGAACGGGUGAGUAACGCGUGAGGAACCUGCCUCAAAGAGGGGGACAACAGUUGGAAACGACUGCUAAUACCGCAUAAGCCCACGGCUCGGCAUCGAGCAGAGGGAAAAGGAGCAAUCCGCUUUGAGAUGGCCUCGCGUCCGAUUAGCUAGUUGGUGAGGUAACGGCCCACCAAGGCGACGAUCGGUAGCCGGACUGAGAGGUUGAACGGCCACAUUGGGACUGAGACACGGCCCAGACUCCUACGGGAGGCAGCAGUGGGGAAUAUUGCACAAUGGGGGAAACCCUGAUGCAGCGGCGCCCGCGUGGAGGAAGAAGGUCUUCGGAUUGUAAACUCCUGUUGUUGGGGAAGAUAAUGACGGUACCCAACAAGGAAGUGACGGCUAACUACGUGCCAGCAGCCGCGGUAAAACGUAGGUCACAAGCGUUGUCCGGAAUUACUGGGUGUAAAGGGAGCGCAGGCGGGAAGACAAGUUGGAAGUGAAAUCUAUGGGCUCAACCCAUAAACUGCUUUCAAAACUGUUUUUCUUGAGUAGUGCAGAGGUAGGCGGAAUUCCCGGUGUAGCGGUGGAAUGCGUAGAUAUCGGGAGGAACACCAGUGGCGAAGGCGGCCUACUGGGCACCAACUGACGCUGAGGCUCGAAAGUGUGGGUAGCAAACAGGAUUAGAUACCCUGGUAGUCCACACCGUAAACGAUGAUUACUAGGUGUUGGAGGAUUGACCCCUUCAGUGCCGCAGUUAACACAAUAAGUAAUCCACCUGGGGAG